GCCAGCAGCCAUAUCGCUGUGCAACUCACAACUGAAACUAAGCAGGUGUGAGCCUGGUCAGUACCUGGAUAGGAGACCUCCUGGGAAAACUAAGGUUGCUGCUGGAA
rnacentral:rRNA from 1 species